rnacentral:siRNA from 1 species
UUGGUGAACCUAAGACCAUG